GGUUGGUCCAAAUGCAGCAGUGUUUACAACAAAUUGAUCACAUCCAGUUACAGAUCCCUUUGUUUCUUCUCCAUUCCCACUGUUUCACUUGACCAGCCUGAG
rnacentral:Y_RNA from 1 species